ensembl:lncRNA
GGCUAUUUCAUCCAACCCGACUGAGGAAUGGCCUUGAUGUGGUCAUCGAGGACGACCGAAUAGAUGAGGUGCUAAAAGGCAUGACCGACAAAUCAUCACCGGGCGUGUAAACCCGCGCGAUGCCUGGCAGACAUUUCAAUUUUUAUCACCGAUUCGAAGCACUUGUCGGUUGUGCAUGUGAAGAAGAUUGCAAAGAGAUGGAGAGACGGUGGCACGACGCUCGAACCACGGGGAGACUAAACUAAAAAGGGGAAAAGGAGAAUUAAAGAAGGGAGAGACGGAAUUUCCUUUGGGGUUUGCUGGCAAUUCUCCAAUAUAAACGACAACCCGAAUGGAAGCUUUGAGGAAGAUGUCGGAGAUGUUGAGGCUGUGGCUCUGUGAAUAAGGAUGGAUUGAUUUGCCAUUAUUAUUCCACGACCAUCAUCUUCCAAAUGCGCAGUAAACAAAACAAAGUUCAACCGAAGACUGAACCGCAUCUUACGCUGUUACUAUAGAUGUACAGUAUCUUAGCUCGAAGACCUACCCCUUAACACACAAACACACACACGCACACGCACACAUGGAUCUGCCUUGAGCGUCGACUUCAAUCCGACUGCUGCUUUUAGAGACAUUUUAGAUUUAACACACACAAAGACAUUAAGCUCCCAUAAUGAUAAAUGAACUAUAUAUACGGAUGAUGCAAUGUGAAUAUUUUCUCUCGCUAUUUUGCGUCAUAUUCUUUUUCAGAGAUUAUCAUACACAUGCCCACAGGUGUUGAAGCGUGUAGUCUUUAAAGCGUCGUUUGGUGAUCUAUUGUUUUGCUCUUCACUGCAGCUGAUUUGCGCACCUGCGCCACGGAUUCACAUCAUCAGUACAAGCACAGAGGAACAUUGUGCAUUACCAACUCUUGUAAUUAACCCAACAUGAAUGCAUCUCGAUUUCUUCCAAGCCUAAGUUUUUGAUUUUUUUUUUUUUCAUCAGCUCCUCACAUUUCUUUUGUCGUGUCCAUCUCUUUGCAUGAACUUUCACUCUGGUGCCAACAGAGGUGCCACCAUGAAUCUUACCCUGGCACGCUUCUUUUUAAAAAAAGUCAUAUUUGUAUUUUUAUAUCUAAAUAUUUGUUAUUUAAAAUGAUAUUCUAGUAUGUCGUCUUAAAGAUUCAUCAACAAUGAUGUUUAUAUUUCAGAGAAAAAUCUUUAGAUGGGG